CCGGGUACAGAGGGCGAGCUACCUGGUGACAGGAUGCGAAUCUCGAAAGCCGGUCUCAGUUCGGAUUGGAGGCUGAAACUCGCCUCCAUGAAGUUGGAUUCGCUAGUAAUCGCGCAUCAGCCAUGGCGCGGUGAAUACGUUCCCGGGCCUUGUACACACCGCCCGUCAAGCCAUGGGAGUUGGGGGUGCCUGAAGUACGUGACCGCAAGGAGCGUCCUAGGGCAAAACCGAUGACUGGGGCUAAGUCGUAACAAGGUACC
rnacentral:rRNA from 1 species